GAACGAGAAAGUGGAGCAAUCCAUGAGUAAAGUGGCGACCGGGUGAGUAACACGUGACUAACCUACCUCCGAGUGGGGAAUAACUCCGGGAAACCGGGGCUAAUACCGCAUAACAUCGCAAGGGGAAGCUCCUUGCGAUCAAAGAAGCAAUUCGCUCAAGGAGGGGGUCGCGGCUGAUUAGCUAGUUGGUGAGGUAACGGCCCACCAAGGCUUAGAUCAGUAGCCGGCCUGAGAGGGCGCACGGCCACACUGGAACUGAAACACGGUCCAGACUCCUACGGGAGGCAGCAGUGGGGAAUUUUGCGCAAUGGGGGAAACCCUGACGCAGCAACGCCGCGUGGAGGAUGAAGCCCUUUGGGGCGUAAACUCCUUUCGACUCGGACGAUAAUGACGGUACGAGUGGAAGAAGCACCGGCUAACUCUGUG
rnacentral:rRNA from 1 species